rnacentral:lncRNA from 1 species
CUUGACAUAAUGUUCCAUCUGGAGAAAGCUCAUUUGAUGCUCGAGGAAAUGGUCAUGAAUGGUUGCAUUGUCGAGACUAGCAAGGCCAACAUACUUUCACCUAUACAACUCAUGGACAAAGCCCAUUGAAAAGUGUUUGCUUCCAUUUCAUUACACUCUUGUAUUUGUACUUCACUCUUUUGUCCAAUUCGAAUUGAGAAAAUAAUAAACCUGUUUUUGUUUCUUUCAUGCUUUCAAUGGUACUUGUGUAGUGCAUAAUGGAUAUAAAAGAAUGUGUCAGUUCUCACUUAUGUUCCCUUUCUUUUUCUUAUCAUAAAUAAUUUAUUUUAAUCAAAAACAGUCUUCUAAUCCUCUCAAACUUUCUAAAUUUGUAUAUAUGUUAAACCAAAAGCAUAACAAAGUUUUACACAACAAUUAGACAUAUCAAACCAAUUGUCAAUGGAUUGUGUUGUCUUGCAGUGAUAUUGUGAAGUGACAGAGGGAUAACCCUUAGCUUUCAGUGGAAACUUUAAACAAUAUGCCUUACCAAUUCACAUGGUCCAAAAAUUUGUGAAUAAAACCGGCUAUUAUUUACUUUCAACUAUAAUUAAAAGAUGUUUGAAUAUGGAGGAGUAUAUUAGUAUCUUAUUGUAGUCUGCAACUGUACGUAUUUUUGUGGUUGAUGGCGAAAUAUCAUUUGAAUUUUAUUUUUUGAUAAAAAGUUUUUUAAUAUUUAAAUUAAGAAAAUAUAUAUAAAGAAUAGUGAUUAUACUUUUUAAAAAUUCAAAACUUAACUUUAAAAACUAAUUAAAAUAAAAAACAAAUUAAAUACAAUUAUAUAAACUAAAAAUACAUAAAUUCUGACAUAAUAAAUUGGGUAAUUCUCUCAAAAAACUCAUUUUCAAGUUUUUAUCACCAAAAGAGUCCACAAAGAGGAAAAUGACAAAAAAAAAUUCAUUAAAGAUGCAAAAGACCAUUUUAUCUCUUAAUUUAUAGAUAUAUAAAAAUAAUAAAAAAUCAAAUUAUUUGUUUUCAAAUUUGAACUUUUUAUAAUUUUUUGUUUUUUUUAUAUUUUUCAAAAUUUCUUUUUUGAAUCUAAAAAGCUUUUUAAACUAUUUAAAAAAAAAUCAUUUGAAAUUUUUUUAUUUUAAAAUUUUUAAACUCAUCCCUUAACUCUAAACUCUAAGUCUAGAUUAGUUAACAUUAGCGAUAUAAAUGUAUAUUUACCAUUUUAAUGAAAAAAGUUUCGGUCAUUUUUUUCUUUCGGAGCUUUUUUAAUAAAAAUAAACUAUCUUAAUGAAAAUUCUCAAAUAAUUUUGAACAAAAAUAAUCCUGCAUUUUGAGAUCGUGGGUUUUAUUAUUAGUGGGCUACGCUCAGCUUUAGCUAAGCAUGCUUGUAUGUGGGCCGAUGCAUAAACUGUUUUCGAAUUUUGUCCUCCAUUUUUUAGUUUACUACUUUACUCUGCUAAUUUUAUUUCUCCUACCUAAAAAACAAUAAAAGUGCUGACUUGUGUAUCCCAAUCCCCCAAGAAGAAGUAGAAAUCGAAAGAUCUGAAAAACGCACAAGGGCUUGGAAGAUGGCAAUAAGGUUCAUAAUAAUGGUGAACAAGCAAGGCCAGACUCGUCUCGCUCAGCACUACGAAUGGCUCACUCUCGAGCAACGCCGAGCUCUCGAAGGCGAGAUCGUUCGUAAAUGCCUCGCUCGCAACGACCAGCAGGUUAACCGCCCCCUACGGCCCUACCCGCCUCUUUCUCUUCCAGUUUCGAUCGUUAUUUUGAUUCUAUUCUCGUCUCCAUAAAUCACCAAUUGGAAUCAAACUAAUUUUGGUUUGAGAUGUUUCAUGCUUGUUAGACAUAUCUUCUAGAUCAUCCUAACAUAUGUUGUUGCUUUGGUUAUGUAAUAAACAGUGUUCAUUUGUGGAGCAUCGUAACUACAAGAUCGUCUACAGACGUUACGCAUCUCUGUUUUUCAUGGUUGGUGUUGAUGACGAUGAAGUAAGUUAUUACCUUACCUACCUCUCUCUUUGUUUUGCCACCUGCAAAAAAAAAAAAACAUCAAAUGCAAAUGAGUUUGUUUGCUUGUCUUGUCCUAGAACGAGCUGGCCAUUCUAGAGUUCAUACAUCUUUUGGUUGAGACUAUGGACAAGCAUUUUGGAAAUGUGGUAAGUUUAGUAGUGAAUCAACUUUGUCUGGUUUUGUGUCUCCUCUUUGUGAUCUUGUUGUAUGUGGACAUUUCAUGCAUACAGUGUGAGCUUGACAUAAUGUUCCAUCUGGAGAAAGCUCAUUUGAUGCUCGAGGAAAUGGUCAUGAAUGGUUGCAUUGUCGAGACUAGCAAGGCCAACAUACUUUCACCUAUACAACUCAUGGACAAAGCCCAUUGAAAAGUGUUUGCUUCCAUUUCAUUACACUCUUGUAUUUGUACUUCACUCUUUUGUCCAAUUCGAAUUGAGAAAAUAAUAAACCUGUUUUUGUUUCU